AAUUCGGUAAGGAAGCAAGUGUAGGUAGCGUUUAAUAAAAGUUAUUUUCAGAAAAAUUAAUUAACAACUAUUAAAAGUUUACGAAUAAAUGUGAUAAAUUCAAUAAUUACCUGAGAUUUAGAAUUAGGAAAAGUUGAAUAAAAGUGAUACUCUGUCUAAAAAAUAUAUAAAAUUUCACGGUUUGCACAAAUUAGAGAAAUGUAAACGUUUGUAAUACUGUAUGUAUCAGAAAGAGAAAAAGGUAUAGCAAGUGGUGCUAAGUUUGCACGUAAGCUUAACAUUAGAGUGAUAGAGGUGGCAGUUGUCUAACAAGUUUAUGUAGUUUUGCUUCUAAUUUCUUUUGAAAUAAAAAUCAAAGGAAAGAAAAAUUGCGCACUUUUGCAGCGUAUUUCGGCAUAGGUGUCGUGUAAAUGAAAAAUCUGGAAAGAACAGUUAAAGAAAUGAGAAAUUAUGUUGUCUCCCUGAUUAUAUAAGCACUAUCACCAUUUAACUUUCUUAUCAGAUCAGAUGAUAAUUAAAAUGAAGUCGUAACACAAAGUACAGUUGAUCUCCUACAAAAAUCAUUGCUGCGUCUAGUGUGACAUCAGCGCUAGCUACGCUAGCCACUAAUACAGUAAUUGCAAGGUAAAAAUUCCAAUAUAUGUGAAGGCUGUCAAAAAAGAUUUAAGCGGAGAAAUUGAUACGUUAUCGGAUACUGCUGCACCCUGCAGUUCAACUUCGUAUGUUAAUAACAAUAAUGUUAGUAAUGACAGUACAGUGCAAGCAAAGAAAAUUUAUUGCCCCCGAUUAACCGCACAUUUAACAAAAGAGGAUUCAAUUCAAAAAUCAUCACAGCCUGCAGUUGCUUUUCGUACUGAAAUGUGAACGAGAUUCAUCUACUCCUUUGCAUGACGUCACUUUGAAUAGCUCAGCCAGCCGAAGCCAGCCAAUAGCUUCCCAGUCAAGGAAUAUAAACUUCUGCAAAUUUUCAAUAGCUUCUAACGCACGUACAGCAUUUCCGCGGCGAGUUCGGCUGGUGGUGGUAAACCCACUAAUUCCACGACAACAAUCAGUGGCAGCAUUGGCAUCUUCAGCAAUGGUUUAACUACUGGGAACACUAAUUCGAGUACGCUGUCUUUUAUAUCUCUCUACUAUCGCCAAUGGCAUGACUCCGUAACGUUUGCAACAAAAAAUUAAAGUCGCCCCCGUCGAAUCCGAACAUCCAAAAUCCGCCUAUUCGUAUUCUUGGUUAGUAGCCCGUUACGGAAAUUUACAGUUUCAUGUGUGAACAUAUUCCGUAUUCUAAAACUGCACCUAGCAGCUUGAAGAAUAAUGUCCGUCACAAUCUGUCGUCGAAUAAAUUUUUGGGAAAAUCGAAAAACGUCUAACCAACAGUUGCCAACGCAAAGCUAUGAAACCGGAACCGUAUCUCGAAAAUGUGUGAGAAGGUAGAAAAAUGGUCGCGGACUAUCCCUAUGGCUAAUCACAAUGUCAUGGGAUA